AAUUAACAGUAUUUACCUUAUAGUGUUUUGUUGGGGCUAAUAUGAGUUAAAAGAGGUAAAUUGCUUAGAAGAUAUUUAAGAAGUACUGUGCAACUGUUUGCCAUUACUGUUAUCCUUGUUGUCAUUGUUAGAGUCUCAGUGAAAGAUACUCUUUUUUUUUUUUUUUUUUUUGCGGCGAACUCAAGAACACUGGAAAACAACAAUACCACUGGUUUCUUAGAUUUUUGCAAGGAUCACAGCUGAAAAAACAUCAAAGAAAUGAAGGAUUCUGAAAGCUCUGGUAAAAACACAAAGGAUUCUUCGAGGCUUCUUUUCUCUUAACUGACAUGGAGAUUCAGGUCAGCAGCCAGAGACUGUAAGCAUAUUGCAGUGGAUAUCCCUGCCUAGUCCGGAUUCUUUUUGCAACUUGUCUGCGAGGCAAGGAGGGAUACAGAUGUGCGAGUGAGGGGAAGUCCGCAGGAAGCCGGGUGAGGCAGGCUCAUCCCUCAUCACUCCGUGCGCACAGAGCAGCUCAGGCUCUCUCACUGGCAAUAGCAAGAGGAGUUAACUAACGUGCUGGGAGUAGGUGACGGCCCAUGGGACCACGACUGAAUGCAUUUGUACCUCUACAGGCGUUUUAAAGAUAAAUGGUAAAACUGAACUGGAAAUCCAUCUGGCCGGCUGCCUGCUCUAAUGAAUAACCCCACUUUGGCUCGUGCAAUGUAAGCAGAAAGUUCUCUCCCGGCCUCUUUCGUCUGUCAUGAAUCUACAAGACAGCCGACAUAAUAUCUGGGCGACAACGGACUUCUUCCCUUUGGAAAGCAGUGUGGUGGCAGUGUCACAGGCAUCCUGUGUGUUUGCAGCAGGUUCCUUCCAGAAGCAGCUGAGGAAGACAGCAAGCAAGUGGCAUUUGGGGUCUUGUAUCAUGUUGGAACACAGCCGUAGUACAUAGACUUCCUGAAAAAAAGACUUCCAGGUAAAAACAUAUUGUGGACACGGUAACAAAUUGGAGAGGGUCAAGCAUCAGGAACACAUGUUCCCUUUUGGCUUCAA
rnacentral:lncRNA from 1 species